GGGGAAUCUUGGACAAUGGGGGGAACCCUGAUCCAGCCAUGCCGCGUGAUCGAUGAAGGCCCUAGGGUUGUAAAGAUCUUUCAGCUGGGAAGAUAAUGACGGUACCAGCAGAAGAAGCCCCGGCUAACUCCGUGCCAGCAGCCGCGGUAAUACGGAGGGGGCUAGCGUUGUUCGGAAUUACUGGGCGUAAAGCGCACGUAGGCGGAUCGGCAAGUUAGGAGUGAAAUCCCGGGGCUCAACCCCGGAACUGCCCUUAAAACUGCAGGUCUUGAGUUCGAGAGAGGUGAGUGGAAUUCCGAGUGUAGAGGUGAAAUUCGUAGAUAUUCGGAGGAACACCAGUGGCGAAGGCGGCGCACUGGCUCGAUACUGACGCUGAGGUGCGAAAGCGUGGGGAGCAAACAG
rnacentral:rRNA from 1 species